UAGCUCAGUUGGUAGAGCAUGAGACUCUUAAUCUCAGGGUCAUGAGUUCGUGCCCCAU
rnacentral:tRNA from 1 species